AAAUGCUGCAUAUGGUAGCAGUUCUAGUUAUGAAUAUGUGAAAAUCUUCCUGAAUGUCACAGAUGUUUCUGAUGAGCCUCUGGUACUCUUCACAACCUUCUUCCCCAGUCACUUUGUUGAGUCCACUGCUGAAAAUCUGCCUCUGGAGGAUCGGUUUUAUCUUGUGGGGACCAUGUGUGUCCUUAGGUCUAAGAUGCUACAAGAACUUUUCCUUGCAGAGGAAGCUGGUACAGAUUUAGUACAAGAUUCAGAUGACGAGACUCUUUCUGUGAGC